rnacentral:rRNA from 1 species
UAAUACGGAAGGUCCGGGCGUUAUCCGGAUUUAUUGGGUUUAAAGGGAGCGCAGGCCGAUGGUUAAGCGUGACGUGAAAUGUAGCCGCUCAACGGCUGAACUGCGUCGCGAACUGGCUGUCUUGAGUGAGUUCGAUGUGGGCGGAAUUCGUGGUGUAGCGGUGAAAUGCUUAGAUAUCACGAAGAACUCCGAUUGCGAAGGCAGCCCACAAGGCCUUUACUGACGCUAAAGCUCGAAGGUGCGGGUAUCGAACAGGAUUAGAUACCCUGGUAGUCCGCACGGUAAACGAUGGAUGCCCGCUGUUUGCGAUAUACUGUGAGCGGCCAAGAGAAAUCGUUAAGCAUCCCACCUGGGGAGUACGCCGGCAACGGUGAAACUCAAAGGAAUUGACGGGGGCCCGCACAAGCGGAGGAACAUGUGGUUUAAUUCGAUGAUACGCGAGGAACCUUACCCGGGCUUGACAUGCAGGUGCACGGGCUAUGAAAGUAGCCCUCCUUCGAGGGUCCUGCACAGGUGCUGCAUGGCUGUCGUCAGUUCGUGCCGUGAGGUGUUUGGUUAAGUCACAACGAACGCAACCCUUUGGGAUGUUGCCAGCGGGUAAUGCGGGAACUCGUCCAGACUGCU